rnacentral:tRNA from 1 species
AUUUGAUUAGUUUAUUUAAAAUUCUAGUUUGUGGAUCUAGAGAUGUACUUUUGUACUUCAAAUA